GGCAGAGCCCAACCCCAACAGAACUUGGCAGCGCAAAGGCCACCAUAUGAAUUGAGGAAGCAGUUUUGCUGCAGGGAACAUGGGAGUGACCAAAUCAGUUAGAUCAACCUCCAAUAGCUGGCAUUAAAAAUGUUGUACCAAUCACCAGCAAGCCCCUGAUUACCCAGCAGGAAAUCCACUAAUGAAAAUCACUAAAACAUGAACAACGACAACAAUAGCUGGAAGAGGAAGCAGAGUUUGCAACUGAGGGUUCCCUUUAACUCCACUGGAUGUUUUCCUGCUCAACUUCUUCUAAAGGGAAUGAACCUCCGACAAUCACACCAUCACUUUAGGGUCCUUCACCUUCACCAACAAACCCUUUGGGCUCAGCACAAAAUCCUUGGUUCCAUGUUGUAAGAGAAUGAAGAAAACUAAGAAGAGAGAAGAGAGAAAGAGAGAGAGAGCAGUUAUUGUAACUAACUCUUAGUUAGUUAUUUUCUAUUUCUGAAUUCUUAAUUGAUGAGUGCUUACUCAAUCCUUUUUAUAGGAGAAUAGAGGCACAACUGUUUCUUACAAUCAGUUUUGCCAAUUGGCAAUAUUAACUACUCUAAUAUACCCCCCUGAAAAGGAACUCCCCUUUUCCUAUGCCUUACUAGAGUACAAUGAAGAAACAACAACAAAUUUAGAUACACAUUUUAGUUAGGGACAAGGCAUCUGUCACUCUAAGGGAUUUUCUCAUUGAAAGGAACUUGGAUGUUGACAGAGGCUUUGUUAGGACAUCUGCAGUUUGAUGUUCUGAUGGAAUAUGCUUUACUUGAAGAGCCUUUGAUUGGAUUCUGUCUCUUACAAAGAACAGGUCCAGUUCAAUGUGCUUUGUCCUGUUGUGAAGGACAGGAUUGUGAGCCAUAGCAACAGUGCUAAGGUUAUCACAGAGAACCAGAGGGGUUUGAUAUUUGUAUUGUAACUCUGAGAAAAGAGAUUCAAUCCAGAUCACUUCUUGAGUAGCCAGAGCCAAGCUUCUGUACUCAGCCUCUGUACUUGACCUAGAAAUGGUUUGUUGCUUCUUUGACCACCAAGUGACAACAUUUGGUCCAACAAAGAUGCAAGCUCCUGAGAUGGACUUUCUGUCAUCAAGGUCUGAGGCCCAAUCAGCAUCACAGCAAGCUAUGAUAGGAAUAGGAGUAGAAGAAACAGCAUGCUGGAUGUGUAGACCUAAGGAGGAAGACCCUUGUAAGUAUCUCAGGAUUCUCUUCACUGCACUCCAGUGCUGAANNNNNNNNNNNNNNNNNNNNNNNNNNNNNNNNNNNNNNNNNNNNNNNNNNNNNNNNNNNNNNNNNNNNNNNNNNNNNNNNNNNNNNNNNNNNNNNNNNNNUAACCUUGACCAAAACCUUGAUGGAUCACAGAUGAGUAUGGUCUGGUCAUUGUUCCAGAAGAGUAGGGUGCAUAUGGGGUAGAUGGCCUUGAAUACAUGUUUGAAGUUGGGGCUCCAUACUGAUUUUGAUGUUGAUACUGUCCAUAGAAAUGAGAAGGUGUUAGUGUGCCAUGAUGACUAUCAUAGGGAGCAUAGUAGCACCAGGAGACAUCAUGUCCUGGUUUCCUGCAAUAGUCACAAAAGAAGCUUCCAGGACGAGUGAAAUUCCUGCCAGAACGAAGACCACAUCCACCACGUUUUCCAUAACGUCCACCUCGAGUUUGAGUGUAGAAACCAGACUGAAAAUUGUCUGAAGGUCUUGGUAAGAUGCCAGAGAAAUGUGGAGAAUGAGGAUGACCAGUGGGAGAUGGCAUGGAUACAGAGAGAGGUGAUUGAGGGGGAGAUUGAGCAACUAUGUUUGCUGAGAGAGCAUCAGACACAGACUUGUUUUUGUUCUUGGCUAAUCUUGAUUCAAAAGUCAGUAAAAAUUGUUCCAAUUCAUGAAUUGAGGGUGGAUUAACUUGGCUUUCAAUAGAUGUAAUAACAUUCUGAAAAUCUUCAUUUAAACCAUCCAGAAUGCAAUCAACAUUUUCUUCAAGAGAUAUUGGUGUUCCAAUUGAGAUUAGAGAAUCAGUUAGGGAUUUCACCUUAGAGAAAAAUUCAGAGAUAUUCAUAGAGCCUUGAGAGAGAGACCUAAGCUGAGUUCGUAAUUGACGACUUCUAGCUUUUGUAUGUGAGUUGCAAAAGGCAUGUAAUUCACUCCAUAACUGCCAGGAGUGAACACAUCCAACAACUCGUGGAUGAAGAGUUUCUGAAAUUGAAUUGAGGAGCCACGAAAACACUGCUUGAUCUUGUUCUUCCCAUGCUAGAUAGCCAGGAUUUACCUGAUGUGCAAUACGAUUUGAAUCAGACAGAAAACGUAGAGGAACAUUGCUGGAAUGAAUGAAGCGUAGUGCACGAUUUGAUUUCAGGACAGCAAGCACGAAUUGGCUCCAUGUGAGGUAGUUAUGUUCAGUGAGCUUUGUAUUUGGUAUUUGAAGAGAAAGAGUUGAAGGUUGAGCACGAAGAGGAGUGGCAGCAGAAGACGAGAGAGGAGGAGAUGAAGCUUCGUGAGGAGGAUCGUUAAUGGCGUUGGCCAAGUUUUAAAACAUUUUUUAUGAAACACUGUUAACCUUAACUUAAAGUUUUGAUAAUGAAAAAGAUUAUGGGUGUAAUGGAUUUUGUAAGAGAAUGAAGAAAACUAAGAAGAGAGAAGAGAGAAAGAGAGAGAGAGCAGUUAUUGUAACUAACUCUUAGUUAGUUAUUUUCUAUUUCUGAAUUCUUAAUUGAUGAGUGCUUACUCAAUCCUUUUUAUAGGAGAAUAGAGGCACAACUGUUUCUUACAAUCAGUUUUGCCAACUGGCAAUAUUAACUACUCUAAUACAUGUACAUCAGAUUAUCC
rnacentral:lncRNA from 1 species